UUUUCAGUGCCUGAGGCUUGCUCUGAGUUUUGGGUCCCAAAGAAAUUAAACAUACAAAAUCAGUUCUGAGACCUUGUAUUCUUCUAAAGAAUUUAUCCUCUCCGACAUAAGAUGGACCUGAAUCAACCAUGAAUAGCAGAGGUAAAAAAAGAUUCUUGCCCUGAAGAUGGAACUGAUUAGCUAGUUCCAUACGUUGAAUGGAUAAGGCAAUUGGCUUGAGUCUGGCGCAACUGUCAUUCACUGGAGAACAUUUUCAUGAAAUCAUAACAAAUGAAAAGCAACUUGUUCUCUCAGUAGAGUCCAAGUAACAUACAGUCUCAAAUGGAUUUUAUCUUCACAAUACACGUGAGGUAUGGAAAUAUCAGUAUUUUACAAAUGGGAAACCAAGGCAAAGAGUGGAUUGAAUGAUUUGGCCAUGGUAAUACAGUGGUCCUGAAGUUGAGAUGGAAUUUAAAUGGUGGUUUACUGAGUGCUAGUCCUGCAGCGUCUUUACUAAACCAUGCCUCCUCUUCUUCCCCACCCCAUAUUUUCACUGAAGAACAUGCAGAGACUGAGAGUAAAAAGGAAAACUAGCAUUAACUCUAGCAAAACUGAAUAAUUUGUCAGAAACUGUCAUUUCAGGUGUUUCUUCUGCUAUUUGUAAUGCCCUUGCACUUACGUGGGGAAAUUAUUAUAAAGAGGUCAUGCAUGCCAGUAACUGAAGCUUGGUUUGACUCUCAUUAAGGCCAAAAUAAGUGGGAAGAAGAUGAUCACCAGACAUAAUUAAUGAUGCUGCAUUAAGCUAUUACUUCAAUGGUUAAAUGUUACAGGCUAGCUCUAAUUAUAAAACAUGUCAUGCUUUUAGCCAAUCAUUUUUCUCUUGCUCUCUUUUUCUAUUUUGCCUCCAUACACAUUAUUCAAAUGAUCUGAAUAAGUUCCUUCCCAUCUUUGCUUCACAAUACUGGAGAGACAAGGUAGUGAGGUAAUACCUUUUCUUGGGCCAACUUAUGUCAUGGAAAGAAACUUUUGAGCUUACACAGAGCUCUGAAAAGAGCUCUGUGUAAGCUUGAAAACUUGUCUUUUUUCGCCAACUGAAGCACGUCCAAUAAAAGAUAUUCCUUUGCCCAUCUUGUUCUUCUAAUAUCCUGGGAUGAACAAGGCUACAACAACACUUCAAACACAAUGCUGGUCGUUUCAGUUUGUCUUUUAUUCAGAGACAUACCAUAAUACCAAGUGCAGUAUAAAUUUUAUAAUAAAUAUCUGAUGAAGUCCAGGGUUAUGCCCUGCACUUUUUCCCUGUCUCUAACAUCUUUGAUCCUCUGAUCUUUUGUGUGUGCAUUAGUGUUCUUGAUCUUAUGUUCUGCUGCUAGCUGAAGGUCAGUAGCGGCCUGAGCACUGGAGAAAGGGCUUGAUCCAAAGCCCUCUGAAGCUAGUGGAAAAUGCCUCAUUGAUUACGAUGGGCUUUGGAUCAGAUCCAAAGUCAAAGGACAAAUAAUCAACUGAACUACGAUGAGCCUUAGUGGUUUCUCCCCCUGUUUUGACAAAGGGCCUUGAUGAGUUUUCACGUUCCCUUUAAUUUGUGCUUAAUAAACCUGGAUGACAGGA